rnacentral:rRNA from 1 species
CCUACGGGAGGCAGCAGUGGGGAAUAUUGCACAAUGGGGGAAACCCUGAUGCAGCGACGCCGCGUGAGUGAAGAAGUAUUUCGGUAUGUAAAGCUUUAUCAGCAGGGAAGAAAAUGACGGUACCUGAUUAAGAAGCCCCGGCUAACUACGUGCCAGCAGCCGCGGUAAUACGUAGGGGGCAAGCGUUAUCCGGAUUUACUGGGUGUAAAGGGGGCGUAGACGGCAGCACAAGUCUGGAGGGAAAUGCCGGGGCUUAACCCCGGAACUGCUUUGGAAACUGUGCAGCUAGAGUGCAGGAGAGGUAAGUGGAAUGCCUAGUGUAGCGGUGAAAUGCGUAGAUAUUAGGAGGAACACCAGUGGCGAAGGCGGCUUACUGGACUGUAACUGACGUUGAGGCUCGAAAGCGUGGGGAGCAAACAGGAUUAGAUACCCCAGUAGUC